GCAUGCCUAAUACAUGCAAGUCGAGCGAACAGAUGAAGUGCUUGCACUUCUGACGUUAGCGGCGAACGGGUGAGUAACACGUAAGGAAUCUACCUAUAAGCGGGGGAUAACAUUCGGAAACGGGUGCUAAUACCGCAUAAUAUCUUCUUCCGCAUGGAGGAAGAUUGAAAGACGGCUCUGCUGUCACUUAUAGAUGACCUUGCGGUGCAUUAGUUAGUUGGUGGGGUAACGGCCUACCAAGACGAUGAUGCAUAGCCGACCUGAGAGGGUGAUCGGCCACAUUGGGACUGAGACACGGCCCAAACUCCUACGGGAGGCAGCAGUAGGGAAUCUUCCGCAAUGGGCGAAAGCCUGACGGAGCAAUGCCGCGUGAGUGAAGAAGGCCUUCGGGUCGUAAAACUCUGUUAUAAGAGAAGAACAAAUUGUAGAGUAACUGCUACAGUCUUGACGGUAUC
rnacentral:rRNA from 1 species